GUGCUUGCUUUAGCAGUUUAUAUACUAAAAUUGGGAUGAUACAGAAAAGAUUAGCAUGGCCCCUGUGCAAGGAUGACACAUAAAUUUGUGAGGUGUUCCAUGUAUUU
ensembl:snRNA U6 U6 spliceosomal RNA